AACUAGUUGCUUCUGGCAGUUUUUUCGUUGAUUCGAUUUUGUUCUAUCAUCCGUGUUCGUCAUAAUAUGUACCCCAGUCAAAUCAUUAUAUGUGCAAGCCUUCAACUAUAAUUGUGUGCCAUUUAUGAGACAUGUGCUCCCAAGAGUGACAAUUUUGUUUGUUGACGAAGUAAUUAAGCCAGAAAAUAGAAUCAUCUGGGCGGAUGAUUUUUCGAUGAACGUAAAUUUGCGUAAUAAUGUUGGACAAUUUCCAAUCGUUGUACCAAAGUGAAACGUGACAUAAUAAAAUGGAAACAAUACUGAACACCCUGCCUAAAUUUUACCCAAAUCCGUUAACAAACAUGGCUGCGCCGAGCUAUAAAAUUACAUUAUCCCUAUUGGUAGACGAUAUACAGAGUCGGAGAAAAUGUUUAACCAGGCUGUAUUGCUAAUAUCUGAUAGGAGAACGGCACUAAAGGAUAAAAACAUCAACAAACUACUACUUUUAAACAAAAACAAGUACAUUAUUGUUGAAUCGAGUAAUCUACCGAAACGUAUUUUAAGUAAACAUUUCUUGCUCUCAUAAUACAUUAGUAAAUGUAUAAAAAAAUUUACAUUUUUAGAACUUAUUAGCUCUCAGAGCAGUUUAUAUAGUAACAUGAAAAAUGUUAUAUGUAACUUUACUAAACUCUUUGUGUUUUCCUUUAUUGCCCAUGUUUUGUUUAAUAAAUAAAUUCAAAUAUUAUUUUAUAAUGUA